GACGAACGCUGGCGGCGUGCUUAACACAUGCAAGUCGAACGGAAAGGCCCUGCUUUUGUGGGGUGCUCGAGUGGCGAACGGGUGAGUAACACGUGAGUAACCUGCCCUUGACUUUGGGAUAACUUCAGGAAACUGGGGCUAAUACCGGAUAGGAGCUCCUGCUGCAUGGUGGGGGUUGGAAAGUUUCGGCGGUUGGGGAUGGACUCGCGGCUUAUCAGCUUGUUGGUGGGGUAGUGGCUUACCAAGGCUUUGACGGGUAGCCGGCCUGAGAGGGUGACCGGCCACAUUGGGACUGAGAUACGGCCCAGACUCCUACGGGAGGCAGCAGUGGGGAAUAUUGCACAAUGGGCGGAAGCCUGAUGCAGCACCGCCGCGUGCGGGAUGAAGGCCUUCGGGUUGUAAACCGCUUUCGCCUGUGACGAAGCGUGAGUGACGGUAAUGGGUAAAGAAGCACCGGCUAACUACGUG
rnacentral:rRNA from 1 species